GAUCUGGUUCAGGAUGAACGCUAGCUACAGGCUUAACACAUGCAAGUCGAGGGGUAGCAGGGUAGCAAUACCGCUGACGACCGGCGCACGGGUGAGUAACACGUAUCCAACCUUCCCAUAACUCAGGGAUAGCCUUUCGAAAGAAAGAUUAAUACCUGAUAGUACUUUUUCAAGGCAUCUUGAGAAAGUUAAAGAUUUAUUGGUUAUGGAUGGGGAUGCGUUCCAUUAGAUAGUUGGUGAGGUAACGGCUCACCAAGUCUUCGAUGGAUAGGGGUUCUGAGAGGAAGGUCCCCCACAUUGGUACUGAGACACGGACCAAACUCCUACGGGAGGCAGCAGUGAGGAAUAUUGGUCAAUGGGCGAGAGCCUGAACCAGCCAAGUAGCGUGAAGGAUUGAAGGUCCUAUGGAUUGUAAACUUCUUUUAUAGUAGAAUAAAGUGAUCCACGUGUGGAUUUUUGUAUGUAUACUAUGAAUAAGGAUCGGCUAACUCCGUGCCAGCAGCGGC
rnacentral:rRNA from 1 species